UUUUAGUUUUUUAUUUACAUUUGUAUUGUAUAAAAUAGUAUUAUAGCAUAUAUAAAAAUGUGGUCUCUUGUUGUGUGGGAAGAGGAUGGUAAGUUCAUGGAAGAUGUAAUUUCACAUGUUUGGGUUGAAGGUGAUGUGCUUCGAUGGCCACCCAAGGGUCUUUCAGCUGACUGUGCCUCAUCAAAUAAAAUGGUACCAAAAGAUGAUUGGAGGCGCUACUCCAUUAUGAAAAUCAAAUUAACACAUUGUUCUAUCUAUUACCUGGCCCAUUGAGCAUUGGCGCGAAUAGAUUCCGAUGUCAAAUCCAGUUCAUUUGUUCAAGGAUAUUUUCUAAAUGUGUUCAUGUAUCAAAAUAAAACACUGUGCUUAGUAAUUUAAGAAAUAUGUUGUACCUAUUGUAUUUA